UACGUAGGGGUCUAGCGUUGUCCGGAUUUAUUGGGCGUAAAGAGCUCGUAGGCGGUUUGGUAAGUCUGGUGUGAAAUCUCUGGGCUUAACCCAGAAAGGUCAACCGAUACUGCGGGGCUAGAGUGCAGAAGGGGCAACUGGAAUUCUCGGUGUAGCGGUGAAAUGCGUAGAUAUCGAGAGGAACACCUGCGGCGAAGGCGGGUUGCUGGGCUGACACUGACGCUGAUGCGCGAAAGCUAGGGGAGCGAACGGG
rnacentral:rRNA from 1 species